rnacentral:rRNA from 1 species
UGGGGGAUAUUGCACAAUGGAGGAAACUCUGAUGCAGCAACGCCGCGUGAGGGAAGAAGGUUUUCGGAUUGUAAACCUCUGUUUUUAGUGAAGAAACAAAUGACGGUAGCUAAAGAGGAAGCCACGGCUAACUACGUGCCAGCAGCCGCGGUAAUACGUAGGUGGCAAGCGUUGUCCGGAAUUACUGGGUGUAAAGGGUGCGCAGGCGGGACUGCAAGUUGGAUGUGAAAUACCGGGGCUUAACCCCGGGGCUGCAUCCAAAACUGUGGUUCUUGAGUGGAGUAGAGGUAAGCGGAAUUCCGAGUGUAGCGGUGAAAUGCGUAGAUAUUCGGAGGAACACCAGUGGCGAAGGCGGCUUACUGGGCUCUAACUGACGCUGAGGCACGAAAGCAUGGGUAGCAAACAGGAUUAGAUACCC